rnacentral:misc_RNA from 1 species
GUGAAUCAUCAAAUUUUUGAACGCAAAUUGCACUCUCUGGUAUUCCGGAGAGUAUGCCUGUUUGAGGAUCAGUUUAAAUAAAAAUCGGUGUGGUUGCUGCCUUUCGUGCUGACGCACCGGGGUUGGGUCGGCUUGCCUUGGGUUAAGUGACCUAAACUGUUGCAUGAUGAUUUUCGCACUUAUUUAAAUGAUUUU